rnacentral:rRNA from 1 species
CCUACGGGCGGCAGCAGUGGGGAAUAUUGCACAAUGGGGGAAACCCUGAUGCAGCGACGCCGCGUGAGUGAAGAAGUAAUUCGUUAUGUAAAGCUCUAUCAGCAGGGAAGAAAAUGACGGUACCUGAGUAAGAAGCCCCGGCUAACUACGUGCCAGCAGGCGCGGUAAUACGUAGGGGGCAAGCGUUAUCCGGAUUUACUGGGUGGAAAGGGAGCGUAGACGGCAGUGCAAGUCCGGAGUGAAAGGCGGGGGCUCAACCCCCGGACUGCUCUGGAAACUGUACGGCUGGAGUGCAGGAGAGGUAAGUGGAAUUCCUAGUGUAGCGGUGAAAUGCGUAGAUAUUAGGAGGAACACCAGUGGCGAAGGCGGCUUACUGGACUGUAACUGACGUUGAGGCCCGAAAGCGUGGGGAGCAAACAGGAUUAGAUACCCUGGUAGUC